rnacentral:sRNA from 1 species
AUUUCUACUCACACAUCCCGUGUGGGAUGUGAC